rnacentral:rRNA from 1 species
AGCCGCCUCCUCCCUCCCGCACUCGCGCCUCCCCCCGCGCCCAGCUACUGCCGCCUCGCCUCUCUCUCCAUCCCGCCCUGCCUCUCUCUCUCUCUCCCUCCAAACCCUAACCCGCGCCCGCCUCCCUGCCCCGCCGCCGUCGCUCGCCCAGGCACCCAUCCACGACCUCACGCUGCCCCCUCCCGUCUCUCCCUCGCAUUGGCCGUCGUGCCCUCCCCUUCUCUGCGCUGCCUCGAAGAAGCACCUCGGUUGCUGCUGCUCCGCAUCACCGCUCCUCACCCACGCACCGCGACCGCCUCCUCCCCAGAAACCCUAGCAGCGGCCAGCUCGCCGCCCUCCGCCGUCGCGUCGUCGCGGGGUUCCUCGCGCAGGCGCAUGGCGCCAAGGCCGUGA